ACUAUCUCUUAGGUUAUUUUUGCUGAAAUUGAAACAGAAAAUUAAGCUGUAAGGUAGGGUUUCCAUUAAUAACCAGUGUCUGUAUAUGCGGAGGCAACACUUGUACAGGGUCCAGCACGGGAUGAGGUAUGGGCAUGAAAAGUUGUAAUAUCCAGCAACUUUGAUUCUGCUAGACUACCGCAAAAGAAAUAUUUGUGCAGGAGACAUUUCUUGGAAAAUAUGGGCGAAAUUUUUCCAGAGCAAAAAGCACGGCAAGACAUUCUAACUCAUACGCCGAAAACUUCCUCUCCUGUUGAGACAACGUCCGGGAAGCGAACGCUAUUGGUUGGCGUUCCCCCUCAUAAUCCUGCAAUAGGACUGCGGCAACCGCAAGGGAACUGGCAUCAGUCUGUAGGAUAAACCUACGGCCAUGCGUAGAACUGGAGGAUUGAUGAUAGCAAGUUUCAAAUCCUGAAACGCCUGUUGCUGUUCCGACCCCCAAACAAAUGGAGUAUCCCUCUUACAAAGGAGGUUAAGAGGGGCAGCACGUUCCGCAAAGUGUGGAAUGAACUUAUGAAAAAAAUUUACCAUUCCUAUGAAUAGCGCGAUUCCUUUAACAUCACGCGGAGGUGGGAAAUCCCUAACAGACUUAGUCCCAUCAGGGUCCACAGAGGCACCUGAAGAGGCAAUGAUGUGACCCAGGAAUGGUAACUUGAGUUGUGGCAAAUUUAUCCUUAUUAGGAUUUACAGUCAAUCCAGCCUUGCGCAGCCUGGUAGACUUCACGCAAGUGGUGGAGAUGCACGUCAAAAGAAUCACUAUAGAUCACCAAGUCAUCCAAAUAAUGGAAGACAUAUUUAAAUUUGAUGUCAGAGAAGACUUGAUUCAACAAGCACGUAAGAACUUGAGAGCCUGUUGCUAUGCCAAAGGGAACCCUAGUGUACUCAUACAAGUUCCAGUCGGUUGCGAACGCCGUGAGAGGCUUUGAUUGCUCAGUCAAUGCGAUUUGAUGGUACGCAGAGUUGAGAUCAAGCAAAGUAAACACUUUAGCUGACUUAAUUCUAAGCCCACUUGAACCUGGUCACUGAUAGAGUAUGUAUGUGGUAGGAGAUUUAUUUCCUGCAUAUGUCUUUACCUAAGAACCCUGUAACAUGUUGAUGCUGUCUCAAUGUACAGUGGCCACCUAACAAUCCUGUUAUCAGUCUAAGGCCAGAAAGCCUCUGGACAGCUGCUACUGCAAUAUCCAGAACUGACAUUAAAAAUGUUUUCAGCAUUUAGACACCUUUCAUCUGCCAUACAUCUUUAAGGAAGAAUGAAGCAACUGAUCAGUCUCCCACACAGUGCUGACCAUUUUGGACAUAACUCACUGCUAUCCAAUGUGGGUUGACAUCAGCUCAACAGUGUGAAUUAUAAUAUUAUAUUUAAGCAUCCUGUUGCACUUUGUUUAUAUCAUAUAGUGUGAAUUAUGCCUUGUGAUGUUCUGUAUAUUAAAACUAAUACCUCCCUCUCAUGCUAAUUUUGAAGUCAUUACUUGUCUGAAAAAAGUAUUACUCUAGUUGAAUACUAAAAUCUUCUAUGGUGCACCAUUAUGUACAGUGAUUAUAAUAUGAAUCAAAAUAUGUAGAUGUGAAUCACAAAUUUUUGGAAACCCCCAAAAUAAUUGUUAAUUAAGUGCAGUGCUUUCAUUUGUGAAAGAAAAGGUACCAGUACUUGCACAUACUCAUUUAAAAUUUUUAACCACCCAAUUUUCACAAAAUUUAGCAUGAACUUUAUGCUACUGAAUUGCACAAAAUUUAGUAACAAAUAUUUUAUGGAGAAGAGUGUCAGUACUGUGUAAAGUUGAACCAUGCCACAUAACUCAGCAACUACCUGGAACAGAGCCCUCCUUGAGAAUUUAACAGUUCCUUCCCACCUUGGGGAACCAAAAUGUUUUACUGUCUAAGUAAGAGCCUGCCACAGGUGCCUAUUAUUUAACAUAAGGUAAAAGUUGUCCCUGUGCUUAAGUAAUUAAGCAUUACAACAUGAAGGAA